CAGCUCUGAAGCCAAGAUCUCCUCCUCUGAAUUUGUGGCUGCAAAACUUCUUUCCAAGUGCAGUAAGGGCCCUCGCUAGAAGUUACUGAACUGAACAUGCAGCUGCUGGUCUGGAAGCCACAGCCGAGAUCUGAAAGGCAGGUUGGCAGCUUGCACUUGUCGGGACGCCCCUUCUGGAUCCUCGCUCUGCCCUCUGUCACGGGCUCAGCACACGUGGGGCAUCCCCCUGUGGUGCCCUCUGCUUCAGCAGCUCUCAAGGCAGCUCUGCUCCCCACAGCCUCUCACUGGGGGACCCAGCGGGGCCUGCAGGUGGAUGACUGUCAGGACAAGUAGCCUCUGUGUCCUGUGUUGAAUAAACACAUCAUUAGAGAGCUGGGGAAAAUACGUGGAGGGAAGGGAAAAUGUCAUUUUGGUAAAGGGCUCAGCUUAAAGGAAGAAAAGCCAUAAUGACAACAUUAAAUAUUUAGGUCUCAGGCCUAUCAGGAGGUUUUCUGUAGGGCAGGGACUUAGUCCGAGUUGUCCACUCACGGGGAGGCAGGCAGGGCAGCCUGCAGUGAUGGGCGUUAGGGUCAGAAGGGCCUGAUUGUCCGUCCCAGCUCUAUUACUUGGUUAAGUAUGGUCUUUCAGAAGUUAAUUCCAGCUUGUAAGACUCAGUGCCUGCAUUUUAAAAUAGACUUAGGAAUAAGUUAGAAGAGGUCAAGAUCACGUGAAAUACAAUGGCACCUUCCAUGAUCCGUGGGCUAUUGCAAACACUUAUAGGAUCCUACAUUCUUCUCUCUUCUUACCCCAUCCCAAGUUUCCUCAGCAUAUGGAUGCAAUUGCAUCGCAUUACUAUUAAGAAACCCCCCCCCCCUUUUUUUAUGCUUUUGCUGUUAGUUUCUUAACUCAGAACCCUGGCGACCUCGCCCCACUCUGAGAAUUCCGAGGGAUUCCAAAGUGGGUCUCUUGUGGCUCACAAACCGCUGUAGCACAACCUUCUGCACUGACCCCACAGAGCCACACGAGGGCAGCACAUCACCAGUGUUGCCGCUUCCUGGUCCAGGAGCCGACUCUGGAAUACCCCAGGGUGCAUUCUUAUGGGGUUCCCAAUUGGACCACCUGUGUGAUGCCAGGAGACUGUGUGGCAUGCAAAGAUGGCCUCCACUGAGCUGCAUCUCUCAAGACUCUCACCUUUCCACAUGGAAGGCAGACUGGCCCUGGACAGAAGGUAGAGUUUGCACCAUUUCACGGCUUUCCAUUUGAAUUUUGUGCUCUUUGGGACCCUAGGCUACCAUGUCAGAAAACUGCCAAAGCUUCUGGAGAGAUCACGUGAAAAAGCCUCGAAACUUAGAGAGGAAGAGAAAGAGAUAGACACCCAGGGGUCCUAGCAUCCCAGUUGAGCCUCUAGGUGUCUCCAGCCCCAGUUGCCAUCUGACCACACCUGUAUGAGAGAUUGGAGCAAAACCAGCAGAAGAACUGCCCCGCUGAACCCAGUCAGCUCAUAGAACCAUGAGAGACGAUAAAAUGAUAGCUGUUUUAAUGCAGCAAUAGAGAACUGAAGCAGGUAGUUUGUGUUUCCUUGCAUGUUCAGCUUGAAAUGUCUCUGCAGUCCAUGAAGGAGUGGGGAGAAAGCCCCAUUUUUACAGCACCACAAGGCAGCCUGCACCCCUCCUUCCCUGUCUCAGGCUUUGAUAAGUUUCAUGAAGCCAGGCUAGGGAGCAGUGACAGACACAGACUCUAGGCUCUCUGCCUUUCCGCAUUUCCUCAAGAUUCCUCUCAAAAUAUCUGUUCCUUCUCCCUCAGCUGAAAAACCCUGAGACAAUUUAACACUGGCAGUCUGGUCCACCCAUUCCUUAGGCAUCCUGGGAUAACCUCAAGCUAGGACUCCCUGCUUUGAUUAAAAGAUUAAAUGAGAGAAAUCCAAAUGUGAAGUUAUUUGUUCUUUGUUAAAAUUAUUUGGAAAGGUGUGACCUCCUUCUGAUCUGAUUAUAGACACCUCAGGGCAGAAAGAAGGUUCAGAGAUACUUGGUCUUGCAGCCAUCCUCAAAUGUACCAAAAAUUUUUGGUAGAAUAAGUAAAUAUUACAUCUUGCUUGCCUGCCUGCUAAUUGGAAAAUUAGUAUAAAUAUUCUAAAUCAUAACAUGCAAAUUUAUCUAAAAGAAUCACUGAAUCUCCUAGAAGGUUUUGGUCAUUACACAUUCUUUCAAACAAUGAAUACCAAAACCAACUACAGAGGUGAGCCUGUAAUAUACUUUGUACUCCUAAAUGGAACUCUACUCAAAAAUAGGGGAAACUCUUGAUCUAGUCUAACUCUUAUUUUAUUAAUGAAGAAACUAUAGCUAAAAAAAGAAGAAAUGGCUCACAAGAGGUUGGAGAUUUUCCAGGAAAGUUCCAAGUUGAAAUUUCUCAGCCUUGAAGAUGGCAACACAGGAUCCCAUGUCUAUAUGCAGGAACUUCCAAGACACAAAGUAUGCCUUUAAAAUCUCAGUUUUACAACAACAGCUAUCAGCAGAAAGAAGUAUAAAUGGUCCGAUUUUUUUAAAGUGUUCAAUUUGCAGGGUGAUAUGGCUUGGAUCUGUGUCCCUGCCCAAACCUCAUGUCAAAUUGUCAUCCCCAAUGUUGGAGGUGGGGCCUGGUGAUUGGAUCAUGGGGGCAGAUUUCCCCCUCCUUGCUGUGAUGGUGAGUGAGUGCUCACAAGAACUGGUUCUUUAAAAGUGUGUAGCACCUUCCCCAUCUCUCUCUCUUGUUCCUGCUCUGGCCAUGGAAGAUGAGCCUGCUUCCCCCACACCUUCUACCAUGACUGCAAGUUUCCUGAGGCCUUCCCAGAAGCCAACGGAUGGCCAGUAUCAUGCUUCCUUUACUGUCUGCAGAACGAUCAGCCAAAUAAACUUCUUUUCUUCAUAAA